rnacentral:tRNA from 1 species
AGGAUAAUAGUUAAUUAAUAACAUUUGAAUUGCAUUCAAAAAAUGUUGAAAAUAAAAUCAACUUAUCUUA